rnacentral:rRNA from 1 species
AGAUGGCGACCGGCGCACGGGUGAGUAACACGUAUCCAACCUGCCGAUAACUCGGGGAUAGCCUUUCGAAAGAAAGAUUAAUACCCGAUGGUAUAAUCAGACCGCAUGGUUUGAUUAUUAAAGAAUUUCGGUUAUCGAUGGGGAUGCGUUCCAUUAGGCAGUUGGUGAGGUAACGGCUCACCAAACCUUCGAUGGAUAGGGGUUCUGAGAGGGAGGUCCCCCACAUUGGAACUGAGACACGGUCCAA